GACGAACGCUGGCGGCGUGCUUAACACAUGCAAGUCGAACGGAAAGGCUCCAGCUUGCUGGAGUACUCGAGUGGCGAACGGGUGAGUAACACGUGGGUGAUCUGCCCUGCACUUCGGGAUAAGCCUGGGAAACUGGGUCUAAUACCGGAUAGGACCGCACUUUGGUGUGUGUGGUGGAAAGGUUUUUCUGGUGUGGGAUGAGCUCGCGGCCUAUCAGUUCGUUGGUGGGGUAAUGGCCUACCAAGACGGCGACGGGUAGCCGGCCUGAGAGGGUGGACGGUCACAUUGGGACUGAGAUACGGCCCAGACUCCUACGGGAGGCAGCAGUGGGGAAUAUUGCACAAUGGGGGAAACCCUGAUGCAGCGACGCCGCGUGGGGGAUGAAGGCCUUCGGGUUGUAAACUCCUUUCGCUAGGGACGAAGCUUUUUGUGACGGUACCUGGAGAAGAAGCACCGGCUAACUACGUG
rnacentral:rRNA from 1 species